CUCAUGGAGAGUUUGAUCCUGGCUCGGGAUGAACGCUGGCAGCAUGCUUAACACAUGCAAGUCGGACGGGAAGUGGUGUUUCCAGUGGCAGACGGGUGAGUAACGCGUAAGAACCUGCCCUUGGAAGGGGAACAACAGCUGUAAACGGCUGUUAAUACCCCAUAGGCUGAGGAGCAAAAGGAGGAAUCCACCCAAGGAGGGGCUCGCGUCUGAUUAGUUAGUUGGUGAGGCAAUGGCUUACCAAGGCGACGAUCAGUAGCUGGUCCAAGAGGAUGAUCAACCACACUGGGACUGAGACACGGCCCAGACUCCUACGGGAGGCAGCAGUGGGGAAUUUUCCGCAAUGGGCGAAAGCCUGACGGAGCAGUGCCGCGUGAAGGUAGAAGGCCCACGGGUCAUGAACUUCUUUUCUUGGAGAAGAAACAAUGACGGUAUCUGAGGAAUAAGCAUCGGCUAACUCUGUGUCAGCAGCCUCGGUAAGACAGAGGAUGCAAGCGUUAUCCGGAAUGAUUGUGUGUAAAGCAUCUGUAGGUGGCUUUUCAAGUCUAUCGUCAAAUCCCAGGGCUCAACCCUGGACAGGCGGUGGAAACUACCAAGCUCAAGUAUGGUAGGGGCAGAGGGAAUUUUUGGUGGAGCGGUGAAAUGCGUUGAGAUCGAAAAGAACACCAAUGGAGAAAGCACUCUGCUGGGCCGACACUGACACUGAGAGACGAAAGCUAGGGGAGAAAAUGGGAUUAGAUACCCCAAUAGUCCUAGCCGUAAACGAUGGAUACUAAGUGCUGUGCGUAUUGACCCGCGCAGUGCUGUAGCUAACGUGUUAAGUAUCCCGCCUGGGGAGUACGUUCGCAAGAAUGAAACUCAAAGGAAUUGACGGGGCCCGCACAAGCGGUGGAGCAUGUGGUUCAAUUCGAGGCAAAGCGAAGAACCUUACCAGGGAUUGACAUGUCG
rfam:Picea glauca, whole genome shotgun sequence.